CUCAAACUUUAUAACGUUAGUCAACCAGACUGUGGAAGCCUCACCACGGGUUCAAGUUGCGAAUCGCAAAAAUUCUGAUCGUUAAAAUCAAAGAAGAUGUGAUCAUAUUAACAUGAUCGGGGUUUAUAACGGACCUGAAGUUCCUUUCAAUGACAAAGCAGACACUCUUAGUGCUCCUAUUUCAAUAAAAAUGAAAAUAAAAAAGCCCAACGAGUGUAUCUACAUUAAAAUGUAGCUGACGUUGACUGUUUUUACCGAUGGUUCAUUCGUCCGCGGACAAAACAAUGUAAUACUAACACCUAUUCAUGAUUAGCUACUUUAUGCGAUAAUUUAAAAUUGAUGAUAGCCGUGCAGUACCGUUAUUGACGAAUAGUAGCGACCCUUAGCUAUCUAUGGGUAUCGUAAAAGGCGAAUAAUGAUCAGAAAGGGGGGAAAUCAAGACCAUUCGGUGGAUUUAUCCGAUUCCAGUUGGGCUACAAUGUUUUUGUAUAAUUUGGUGUAUAAUUUAGAAUUUUAGUAAUUUUUUUUUAUAUAUUUAUUAAUUCGGAUCUCUCUCAAUACCAUUUAUGUAUCUAUCGAAAGCGUUAAAAAACUCGCACUCAGCACACUGUUAUGUUUAAUUAAUAUAAUGGUGUUGAUGUUACAAAUGAGAUUGUUACGUUUAAUGUUACUCUAUGUACCUUGUUGUUUAUUGUAUCUCUUUCUAUUUUCAAACACUUACAUUUUGUUUAAUUUCAU